AUUGAACGCUGGCGGCAGGCCUAACACAUGCAAGUCGAACGGCAGCACAGAAGAGCUUGCUCUUUGGGUGGCGAGUGGCGGACGGGUGAGUAACGUCUGGGAAACUGCCCGAUGGAGGGGGAUAACUACUGGAAACGGUAGCUAAUACCGCAUAACGUCGCGAGACCAAAGUGGGGGACCUUCGGGCCUCACACCAUCGGAUGUGCCCAGAUGGGAUUAGCUAGUAGGUGGGGUAAUGGCUCACCUAGGCGACGAUCCCUAGCUGGUCUGAGAGGAUGACCAGCCACACUGGAACUGAGACACGGUCCAGACGCCUACGGGAGGCAGCAGUGGGGAAUAUUGCACAAUGGGCGCAAGCCUGAUGCAGCCAUGCCGCGUGUAUGAAGAAGGCCUUCGGGUUGUAAAGUACUUUCAGCGGGGAGGAAGGCGGUGAGGUUAAUAACCUCGCCGAUUGACGUUACCCGCAGAAGAAGCACCGGCUAACUCCGUGCCAGCCGCCGCCGUAA
rnacentral:rRNA from 1 species